rnacentral:rRNA from 1 species
GACAGAGGAGCCAAGCGUUGUCCGGACUUACUGGGCGUAAAGCGCCCGCAGGCGGCCGUGCACGUGGGGUGUGAAAGCGCUCGGCUUAACUGAGCGAGGCCAUCCCAUACGGCGCGGCUCGAGCCGUCCAGAGGCGAGUGGAAUUCCUGGUGUAGCGGUGAAAUGCGCAGAUAUCAGGAAGAACACCCGUGGCGAAGGCGGCUCUCUGGGACGGUACUGACGCUGAGACGCGAAAGCGUGGGGAGCGAACAGG